GCUGCGGGAGCAGCGUGGGACUCUGAGCAUAAGCUGCUGGAGGUGGGCGACUCCCAGGCAGAACAAAGCCUCUUCUAGAGGGACAGGCGGGUUUUGCAAGCGGGUUGCUCUCAGAAGGUGUUUCCAUGGAUUCCACUUGGUGCCCCGCCCAUCACCGGACAGCCUCGCCAGUCUUUCCUGCCUUGUGAGCCCGUGAGCCACAACGACUGAAGCCCCUGUGCCACAACUACUGAAGCC